rnacentral:sRNA from 1 species
CACAGCUGUGGCGGCGGGUACUGCGUUAGUGAUUAGGGUUUCUUCCCUGCCGGAGGUGGGAUACACGGUAGCAUCAUGGUCGAGGAGGUACAGAAACAUUCUGUACACACCCUUGUGUUCAGGUCAUUGAAGAGGACCCAUGACAUGUUUGUAGCUGAUAAUGGAAAACCUGUGCCUUUAGAUGAAGAGAGUCACAAACGAAAAAUGGCAAUCAAGCUUCGUAAUGAGUAUGGUCCUGUGUUGCAUAUGCCUACUUCAAAAGAAAAUCUUAAAGAGAAGGGUCCUCAGAAUGCAUCGGAUUCAUAUGUUCAUAAACAGUACCCUGCCAGUCAAGGACAAGAAGUUGAAUACUUUGUGGCAGGUACACAUCCAUACCCACCAGGACCUGGGGUUGCUUUGACAGCAGAUACUAAGAUCCAGAGAAUGCCAAGUGAAUCAGCUGCACAGUCCUUAGCGGUGGCAUUACCUUCGCAGACCAAGUAUGAAAUAUAAUUACAAAGAUCUUAAAAGCAUAUUUCACUGUUCACAUUUUUCCUUUUUAAAAUUUCUUUAUAACUGUUAUAUGACAUUUUCCUUUAUCAGGACUUAAUAACAAUUUUAAAUAAAGGGUUAGUUUUGCAGAAUACAUGACUGGAGGCAUUAGUUACUUUGAAUAUAUUAUUUCUUUUGCCUCAGGGCUGAUGCAAAUCGUACUGCACCUAGUGGAAGUGAAUACCGACAUCCUGGGGCUUCUGACCGUCCACAGC